GACGAACGCUGGCGGCGUGCUUAACACAUGCAAGUCGAACGGAAAGGCCCUGCUUUUGUGGGGUGCUCGAGUGGCGAACGGGUGAGUAACACGUGAGUAACCUGCCCUUGACUUUGGGAUAACUUCAGGAAACUGGGGCUCAUACCGGAUAGGAGCUCCUGCUGCAUGGUGGGGGUUGGAAAGUUUCGGCGGUUGGGGAUGGACUCGCGGCUUAUCAGCUUGUUGGUGGGGUAGUGGCUGACCAAGGCUUUGACGGGUAGCCGGCCUGAGAGGGUGACCGGCCACAUGGGGACUGAGAUACGGCGCAGACUCCUACGGGAGGCAGCAGUGGGGAAUAUUGCACAAUGGGCGGAAGCCUGAUGCAGCAACGCCGCGUGCGGGAUGACGGCCUUCGGGUUGUAAACCGAUUUCGCCUGUGACGAAGCGUGAGUGACGGUAAUGGGUAAAGAAGCACCGGCUAACUACGUG
rnacentral:rRNA from 1 species